rnacentral:rRNA from 1 species
GACGAACGCUGGCGGCGUGCUUAACACAUGCAAGUCGAACGGAAAGGCCCUGCUUUUGUGGGGUGCUCGAGUGGCGAACGGGUGAGUAACACGCGAGUAACCUGCCCUUGUCUUUGGGAUAACUUCAGGAAACUGGGGCUAAUACCGGAUAGGAGCUCUUGCUGCAUGGUGGGGGUUGGAAAGUUUCGGCGGUUGGGGAUGGACUCGCAGGUUAUCAGCUUGUUAGUGGGGUAGUGGCUUACCAAGGGUUUGACGGGUAGCCGGCCUGGGAGGGUGACCGGCCUCAAUGGGACUGAGAUACGGACCAGACGCGUACGGGAGGCAGCAGGGGAGAAUAUUACAGAAUAAGCGGGAGCCUGAUGCGGCAGCGCCGCGUGCGGGAUGACGGCCUUCGGGUUAUAAACAGCUUUCGCCUGUGACGAAGCGUGAGUGACGGUAAUGGAUAAAGAAGCACCGGCUAACUACGUG